rnacentral:rRNA from 1 species
GAUGAACGCUGGCGGCGUGCCUAAUACAUGCAAGUCGAGCGAACGGACGAGAAGCUUGCUUCUCUGAUGUUAGCGGCGGACGGGUGAAUAACACGUGGAUAACCUACCUAUAAGACUGGGAUAACUUCGGGAAGCCGUAGCUAAUACCGGGUAAUAUUUUGAACCGCAUGGUUCAAAAGUGAAAGACGGUCUUGCUGUCACUUAUAGAUGGAUCCGCGCUGCAUUAGCUAGUUGGUAAGGUAACGGCUUACCAAGGCAACGAUGCAUAGCCGACCUGAGAGGGUGAUCGGCCACACUGGAACUGAGACACGGUCCAGACUCCUACGGGAGGCAGCAGUAGGGAAUCUUCCGCAAUGGGCGAAAGCCUGACGGAGCAACGCCGCGUGAGUGAUGAAGGUCUUCGGAUCGUAAAACUCUGUUAUUAGGGAAGAACAUAUGUGUAAGUAACUGUGCACAUCUUGACGGUACCUAAUCAGAAAGCCACGGCUAACUACGUG